GAAAGAGGAAGUGGAAAGCAGCUCGCUGUGCUCUCUGCGGCGCUGCGCGGAGACAGUCACUCGCGCAUCACCGGGGACUGCCGGUGGGGUGUCAGGAACGCCAUGAGGCCGAGUCACUUCUCCUGCCACUGGGAUACCACUCUGUGCUUGGAGAAACAGUGAUUGGGUUCCGGAGUAAAGGAGACAAGCGUCGGGCCCCGACUCUGGAAGUGGCCAGCAAUGCAGUCUUGUACAAAUGGCUUAGACUCUUCCAAGGGAUGGGCCUGCUCAGAGCCCGCCUUGACUGCAGGGAGGAUGAAUAACUGGAGAGCCCAACUUGGUGCCCUUGGUGUUCCUUGAGCUCUGAGUGACAUCACUCCCGGAAGCCUCUGUUCCUUGGGCCUCAUGCAAGGUUCUGCCUGCUAGGCGGGGAGGAUUUGCAGCCCGGAUGGGAGCAGGCUUGCCACGAGUUCAGAAAAUGGAUGUAAAAGGAGGCAUUUCAACAUUCCAUUCCACUGCUGCACUGCACCGGAGGCAAAGGUGAUUCACGAGUAAACUCCUUGUAAGCAUGAUUCCAACCCUUCCACAUACCCCUCCAGACUCUGGUGUGGAGACCCAGUUGGCCAGAACCUGCAAGAAACUCGCCCGUCAGUGGAAGAAAUGGACAUCCAGCAACCUAGUCCCCAAGCGAGAAGAACAGGCCUGCUGAGAUGCUUGAGUCCCAUGGCUGCAAGCACCCUGCCAGUGCAGUCCCUUUAUUAAUCCACAAGUCUGUAUUGAGCCCUCACCAGGAGCAAACAUUUAUUGAGCACCUGCUGCAUACCUCUGGCUAAGCAAGUUCACCUGAAUAACUGAUUUAACCUCACUACAUCCCAAUGAAGAGAGCCUGGUACAGAAGGGGGCAUCCAGGUUCAGCGAGGUUAAAUGACUUGUUCAGGGUCACACGGCAAGACAUCCAACAAGGUUCACAGCCUGAGCAGGGCCCACCAGGUUGAGCUGACACCCUCCCUUCUCUCUCCUCUAUUAUGAACUUGUAUCAAAACCCCUGUCCUUCAUGGUUACACUCGAUUAUUUAUGUUUCCCUCUCCCUGCCCCGAGCGAGGAGCCAGCUCCGAAGGUCCCUGCAGCCAUAGUGCCCAGCCUGGACCACAGCUGACCCUAGGAAGACAUCUUGCCCAAUGGGAACUCAGAUCCUAGCACUGUACUGCUCACUCCAGGGCUGAGAGGGGAAGGAAGAAGAGCCCAGGGCUUCAUUCCUGACCUCAGGAGCUUACUGUCUGGGUGUUACGGACCCAAAUCUGAAUCUUGAAAGGGAAAGAGGGUCCGUGAGUCAGGCUGGACUUGGUUAUAGAUUCAAGGAGCUGGGAAACCCAGAGGAAGGGGAGAUGGUCGAGGGCCCAGCAGUCAGGGUGGGCCAGGGAGAGGUAUAAGAACUGAAAGCAGGGAGGAUUUACAUGGGCAGAGGGGAGAAGCUCGGCCACUGAAGGAGGCAAGGGAGGUGGCGGCAGCCAGGUGUCCUCUCCGGGGAGCAGAAGGCCAUCCUGGUGGGGGGCAGGGAGGCUCUGGGGAUGGUCAGGAGGUGGGGGAGGUUAGGUCUAGGAAAUAAGGCCCGCUUUGUGCAAUCAGGCCUUGUGCAGAUGAAGCCUGAAAAUGGUGAUUACCCUUUGGCCUAGUAAUUCCACUUCUGGGAAAUGAUCUUAAGGAAAAUCUUCAAAACAUAGGGGACGUAAAGCUCUACUCACAGUAGUGUUCAUCACAGAGCUAUUUAUACGGAGGUAAAAAUGGAAGCAGCCAAAACAUUUCUCCUAAGAGAAUGGUGAAGAAAUCGGUACAUUCAGCAGCCAUCACGUGUGACGUUUUCAAAGAUUCUGAAUAAUGUUCAAAAUCAAUUAUGUUAAAAUAUUGAGGGAAAUGGCAGGUUACAAAUAACAAUGACAGCUGCAUUUAUUGAGUGCUGUUUGCUAGGCACUCAGUGCUUUACAUAUUUGGCCUCAUUUAAUCAAUACAACCAUCCCAGGAAGGUGGAAUGACUUCCACAGAACAGAUUGGCACGCAGAGUGAGGCUCUCCCAGGUAGGGGUGGAAGAGCUGGGAUUUGAGCUCUGGUCACACUCCAGUGUGUGCUGACCACCACCUGAUGUAACACGACCACUUCUAGCCAGGAGACCUGAGAGAAAUAUAUGAAAUAUUAACAAGGGUUCUUUUUUUCAGGGUGGGAGGUCUGUGCGGGGGUUUGAUCCCCCCUACUUUUCUGUAUUUUCCAAAUUUUUCCUUAUGAAGCUGUGAUACUCUUUGUAUCUUUUCCAUAUUUUCAGUUAUGUAUUCUGCUUAUCAUUCUGCAACUUCGUUUCUUCCAUUUACUAGUAAGUCUCAGUGCUCUUAUCUUCCAGAUGCCCUUUAUUCUUUUGGUGGGGCCUCAGAACAUUUCAUGGUACGGAUUUGGCAUAAUUUAUUUAUCUGGAUCUCCUAUUGAAGGACAUCCUAGUCUACACCUCUUUGGGCAGAGGGUUUUGUUUGCUUUUAACAGAAAAGAAUAAACUGUGGGGAGAAGUACUUCUAGGUGGCUAUACGUGUGGCUUUGGCAGAUUGGGGUGGAGGGAUUUAAUCAGGGGCUCCAGAUUCAAGGAUGGCCCCUGUUGGUAAAAAUGGCCAGCUGGAGUGAGUGGGUCUAUUUGAAGGAUGAGUUUCUGGUGUCUUAGGUUUCCAGUAAUAAUAUCCCCUCACCCCACACUCCCUCUCGGGGCAGCUCUAUCAGCUGACCCCCCCCCCCCCCCCUUGGCAGGUGUAGGACUUUUUUCUUUGGAGGAAGUUAUAGAUUAGGAUCCCUCCUGCCCUGGCUUCAUAUUGACACAAGGCUUAAUUUUGUUUUGCUGUGGGCAAAUCCUCUUCAGGAAGUCAGUUACUCCAAUGCCUCUGGGCUACCAGGAUGCAGAACUGACUCUACUCCAUUCAGUUCUACCAACUUCCCUGGAGGUCUUUUAUAACAAAUAGAGUCUGAAAAACCGGAACCUCAGUCAGUUCCUUACACCUGCUGUGUGGCCUGCAGCCAACUUUGUUAGGGCCCUGGGCUGUGUGCUUCAUUUAUAUGGAAGAAGGGGCCAGAGUUAGAAGAUUUCAAUCAGCUCCAACCUUCUGCUGCGAUUCUUUGAGGCCUUAGUGAGAAAGACACAGUGCCGCCUCUUACUAGCUGUGCUAUCCUGGGUAGGUUAUUAACUUCUCUGAGUAUCAGUUUCUCAUUUGUAAGGUGGGGGCAGUGAAAUACCUGGUAGGGUUUUGCAGAUUAAAUGAACUACUGCCAGGAGUUUGGUGGCUAGCAUAGUAGCUAUGCCUGGAAGCUGAGCGAUGAGUAAUGGGAGUAAUACUUAAGGAUCCUUAGAAUGGAAGCCCCUCGGCUCCCUUGAGCCCAGUCUCCAAGAGGUUACCUGGGGCUGCCUAGGAGAGCUUGGCUUUGAGAUCCUCUGAUACAGGCAGGGAAGCCUAUUCAUUUCUCAGCCAACAGGAUGGUACCCUGAACUACCUAAGCUAAAAAGCAAGAACAACAACAAACAAGCCCCCCUUUCUAAAGACAGCUCCUAAGCCUGUAAGAGUCCAAACUCGCCCAGCUGCGAUCUGGCCAGCAUGUUAUGUACCUCCUCUCGCCUCUUCCAUAGAUUUGUCUUCAUCACAUCACUUCAUCCUUAGCCUCGGCAGCCAGAACAUCAACCUACAGCUUCUAAGAGGGGAGGCAUCACUUAUUGAAGUUUAAAGAUCUGGUCCAAAAUGUAUUAUUAGAGAGUGAAAAAACUAAGUGAAACAAAAGGUCUGGAACUACUAUUGUAGGAAAAGAAAAAACCCACUUAACUAGAUGGGUGUGUGUUUUUAUAGACAUAUAGACCUUUUUAUUCUUACCUAUAUUCUGCUGGUAUAAGAAAUUCCCUAGUAUAAAAGCAUUAUCAGCUUACAGCAGCCUCUUUGGGGGAGUGAGGGGAGCUCCCCCUGUUUACUUUCUUUUUUAAAAAAUUUAUUUUAAAAAAUUUUUGGCUGUGCCACACGGGAUCUUAGUUCCCCGGCCAGGGAUUGAACCCGUGCCCCCUGCAGUGGAAGCACAGAGUCUUAACCACUGGCCCACCAGGGAAGUCCCCCUGUUUACUUUCUUUAUUAUUGUUUGACUUUCUGAUAAUGAGCACACCUUUUGAGAGAGGCAGUCAUUGUAGCAGUUAGGAAUGAGGGGUAUGUUGGAGUCAGACCAUCUUGUUUGGCUUCAAACUCAGAUAUGUGUCUCUGGAUCAGACACUGAAGCUCUUGCAGCUCAUCUGUAAAGUGGGACGACAGUAAUAACACCACUGACCUCAUGGGGUUGUUUAAAGGGUUAAACAAGGAGAUGCAUAUGCUUAGCACAAUGCCUGGCACUCAGUAAACACUCAGUGAAGUUCAGCUGCUAUUAUUACUUGUAUAAAUAAAAAUAACAUGUAUGUAAAUAUUUCUUUGUCUAUAUAUGUAAACAUAGGACAGGGGUAUCUUGAGGCUGCACAUGCCUUCCUGUGAUACACUCAGCCCCAUAAAAAGGAAUGUGAGGAAGACAGAAAAGGGAAUGACUGCCUGUUAAUUAGCCGGCUCUGAAAGCCCCUGCCCCAUGCGAUGUUCUCUAUUCUCACAAGAGGGGCAAUUAAAGAAAACACUGGCGUGGGAGAGGGGAAAACUUGUAAAGGCCCAGAAUAGAGGCCACCCGACCCCCAACACUGCCCCAAGGAUUAGCUGGUGACAAGGCUGGAGAAGGGACACAGGUUUGUACUGUCUCUUGAACUGGGAGCUUCUGGGGCAGGAAGGAAUUAGAGCUGUCCAACUCAUUCUCUCAUUCAAUGAAUAUUUAUUGAGGGCCUGUGGUAUGCCAGCCAGCAGUUCUAAGCCCAAGGAUACAGCGUGGACAAAGAAGACCAAAACAGAACAAAACAGCAAAUAAACAAACAAAAGCUUAUAAUCAGAGAGCUUACAUUCUAAUGGAGGUAGAUAGACACUAAACACAAUGAGUAAGACUAGCGGCCUGUGGAAUAGUCAUAAAUGCCGCGAAGAAAAAUUAAACAAGGAACGGUUUAGGGGUUACAGGGUUAGGUUGCAAAGGAGCUCAGGAGGUAGAAUUAUGGGGGGCCCCAAGCAGAAGGCAGAGUGAGCUGGUGUUCCCCGCAGCUCAAGUCUCUGUAGAUUUCUGAACCGCAUCCUUAUUCAGAAGGUCUCCUUGAGCCCCAGCCCUCAGAGGUCCACAAACCAGGUGUGUCUCUGACUGCACAUGGAAGGCCCCAGCUCCGGGAAACUGAAGGCAGGGUUAAGGCACUCAGCCUCCAUGAGAAAGUCAUCCAAACACUGCUUUGAAAGGCAAAAACCAGGGGAGUCUGUCCUGAGCGUGGCCCCGCUGAAGCAAUGGUUCUUGGCCUUGAGUGGCCUGACGUCACUGGGUGGGGAGGCGGGGUUGUUAAACUUCCGAUUUCUGGAUCCUGCCACAGACCCUUUGCCUCACAGUCUCUUGGGGUGGCCUGCCGGGCACCCCACCGGGAGAAACACAGGUUGGUGGAUUAUAUAUGACCCAGACAUUCAUCUCCAGGUACACUAACCUGCCCUCUCACCCCUGGAAUCUCAAAAACACUGAUUCCCGCCCAGUGAACAACCUACUUAUUUUAAUAAUAAUGGCUGCC